UCCGAUGGCAGUUGCCACGCGAUUGCUCCUCAUUUUCACGAGAGGUUCGAUUCGCCAAACGAAAUAUUAAUUUUCUCGAGAAAAAUUUCGCGUCUAUAUGCGCGACAUGGUAUAUAGGACGACGCGACACGCACCACGUCUUGAUUCGGUGGCAGAUUUACCCUGACUGGGGUGAUUCUUGGCCGUAGGAGCAUGCGCGCUUCUGAUCCACCUCCUGUGAUGGUGGAAACGCGCAGAGGGUCCACGAACAAGGUCCGCGCACACGUAAACUUCUCUCGACACACCGAGCUUCGAAACACACGUAUGAUGCCACGGAUGCGAGCGAACCUCACCGACACGAUGCUGGGUCAGCGUAGGUGUAGUGUUAAGGGUAGCUCGCGUCGGUCACGACGUACGGCACUGUGUGUCACGGACAGAAAGUGUGGCAGGGCGUGCAAGGAGUACAGAAUCGAGCAUGGUCACCCGAGGGAGUUCAGUAAACGCGGCAGGAUUAUCCGUAGCGGCAGUAGCCUGGUGGUUGCAACGAGCUCGAACGAGGAUCGAAGAAAGAGAAAGAGAACACUCCGGGGGCACAGCUACUCCAGACGGACAAGCCGAUUCACGGACGUUCAAGAAAGGAGGGACGAGGGAACAAAAAUCCAACCUUCAGUGCGAAAACACGGAGUUGGAAGUUGCGGUGAAUAGCGGCUGGCGCGACGUUCGGAUUUCCUCGAAGUAGGCUGAGAAAGAGAAGAAAAGAGAAGAGAAAAGCGAGUAUAAAAGAGUCGGAGCGUGAGUUGAAGGGAUAGCGGUAGAUUCGAGGCGACCGCAGCUUCGAAUCGAAUAACGGAGCUACCCUCGGUCUGCUGCCUUCUCGCCGGAAUAAUAAGGACUCCAUUCUCUCGAGAUCGAGAAAAUCGAUCGCACCCUAUCACGUCCAUCGCGUAUUAUUGCCGCCGCCUGUUUCCGACAACUCGUCUCCGCCGUUGGUCUACGCCUGAUUGUGGCCACGCUUGACAGACCCAUCCCGGUAGGUAAACAGACCACACGCCCGCAGGAAUAACGCACUCCCUCGAUAAAAUUACCUUGUCUACUCGACUGUCGAAAUUGUCUGUUUCUUUUAGCGAAAAGGUUUGAACAAUUUCAUUUCUUAACUUGACCGAACAAAGAGCCGAGUUAGAAACUUUUCCCGUAACCGAUUGUAAGUUGGCAACAAUUUUGUAAUUUGACGGCAAACUGACAAAUAAGCAUUAUGUGAAAAAGUGGAUAAAAGCUUGCAUGGCACCAUUUUUAUAGCUCUUUUAAGUAGUAUGUAAUAUGUAUCGAACAUCUACUGUGUAACGUGUUUUAAGGAUUCGAUCUUUUCUUUACAGAAUAUUCAUCGAGGAAGACGACGAACGAUUAAAUUCAGGUUCGAAUAUUAUUCGGAGUUAAAUGGUAGUAAAUUAUUAUUGUAACUUGUUGAAUGUAAUUAUACAAUGAGAAUGUUUGUAUAAAUUGUCAGCAGUUUGCGCUAAUACUGUUCAGUAUCUGUAAACGUUUCGCUCAGAAAGCAAUUACGGAUCUAAUAUCUCUAACUGGAAACUUCGCAAACCCUGAUAGAAUGUAAUAAUUUGAAAAUUUAUUACGUAAUUUAGCAAGAGAUUAGCAGAUAUUACAGCAUCCUUCUCUCCAUUCCAAUUUAAAUCUUGCUCCAGAAAUAAAUAUUUUACCUUGCUUCUUGCUACCACCCUAUCCAACUCGAUAAACGAUUACAUACUUAUUACGAUUUAAUCCUUUAACAUCUAGGCAUCUAAUAGUUUCGCACUUGAAUUCCUCGGACAGACCCAUACCCAUACAUACAAGUACGUUUAGUCUAAUCUGAAGAUACCCUCAUAAGAUAUAACAGAGCAUUUUAAUUCUUUUUAUGUACACUCAACAAACAAAAGGUGAUACGGGACUAUGUCCUGUCGUCACGAAUGAAAAUUAAUUUCUAUCGGCUUUCGCUGUAGACAGAAAUCGUCACAGCAUCCUCUAGCUGGAAUACGUGACCCAAUAUGUCGAGCAGGGCUUAGAACAACCCUCUCCUUUAUUAAGUUAACCCUAUAUGCACGAAAUCCAUCCAUUUAUAUAUUCCGUGUGAGCUCCGCUUGUAUCUUUCUAAGUAAUUGUGUCAUUUGAGUAUUCAAACAAAGUCAAAUUAAUGAUAAUGACGAACAGUUUCUGAGAUUAUGUGAUAACGAUACCAAUUACAUGCAACGAAUUUUUCGUUACAAUGAGAACGAGUUUAACUUGAGAUUCGUCGAAAGUCGUUAAAAAGAAGCACCAGUCAAAAGCUUUACUAGCAACGCUAAAGCAAACACGAUUAUCAUUUCUUCGCAACUCCAAUUGAAACCGUAAUCAGUCUUUCGCGAUACUAAAAAGCUUAAAAAUACAAAACUUUUUCGCAGCUCUAACGUAAUUAAUCUGUUGGUCAGCCCACAUAUACAUCGACAAAAAAAGAAAAAAGAAGAUAACUACAGAUACUAAAAGCGAGCAUAGUGACAAAGUAGUAACGAGAAUGAUUUUCCAUGUUCUAGGUGAUCCAGAGGAUGGAAAACCAUUAGUAGUUGCCCUCUUCUAUGGCAAUUUGCCGGGCCUCUUCGGCUUGUAGCCUCUUCUUUCUUCGGACGCAAUACCCGCUGAAACCAACGACCAUAGUGAUCGCUGUCCGUUUCGAAACUUACUCGCGACCACGACCACGAAAUUCGAAAAAUCGAUGGACAAGACCAGAGACGAAUGGUAUGCUUCACUCGUGAUGCCAGCCUCGCCGUCGAUUUUUCAAAUCAAUUUUCCUGAAACAGGUUGGACACGCGAAAACGCGCCUACCCGACCAGAGACUGUGCCAACCUGCCCGGCCCUACCUACUUAUAAUUAACAUUCACACCAGAAAGUAUGCUACCUAUCCUACCUAGCCUUAUAUUUAAAAAAUGGCAAAACAGGCACACCAACACACUCGCUCCACGGUUCUCACACAUAACCCGGGCGCAAGAGCCUACACUAGAGAAACGUCCCGGGACGCCUCCGACACCCGAGUUUGGCACACAACUUUCACGCUCUAAUUUGCAUAGCAUUUUCCUGAAAUCGACUGACGUUGGCUACCGACCGUUGCAUACAAAUUUUUUGCAUAUUUUGAUUUUAAUUAGAAUUAAUUUUAAGCAUAUUUGAAUUCCAAUCUUAAUUAAAUAUACAUAAUUGUGCGCAAUUAUAUGUAUAUUAUCUAAAGAAAUAAUAUUAUUAAAUAGAUGAUACACAGUCUGAUAUCAUUGUAAUGUAAAUGCAAGAUUAAUAAUCUAUUGUACAUAUCUAAUAACACUGUUAUUGUAAAUUGCAAUCAUACUUCUGAAAUUUCUAAGUGUUUGAGAAUUAUAAUAAAUAGCAAAAACGACGCAAUUCCACAGCCUAGCCACGCUCACACACACACA